UCGGUUUUUCUCCAUAUCUCCACUCCCUAAAAUCUCUCCAAUAAACCAAAUCUCCACAUAAUUGUUAUAUUUCUCAGUAUCUCCACUCCCUUCUCAUGAUCUCAGUCAUUUAUCAACGCCAUUCCAAAAUUCUUGUGCAGCUUCUUCUCUUCCACAAAAGUUUGAAACCGAGAGGGUUGUGAUCUUUAAUACCUGCUGCUUGUGCAAAUCCCCUUCCUCCCAAAGAGUGAACUUGUGCACGUUGUUGCGGUUGGGAACAAGAAAGUGUUUGAAGAGUUAAGCUUGUGAGUUGCUAAAGUGUGCAGGUUGAGGUACUAAAUCAGGAGGAAAGGAUCAGAAGGAAUUGGCGUGAAAAAGCAUCAAAAAGUGUGCAACUGGCCAGUAUGAGCAAAAAAAGUGCAAACUGGCAAUUAUGAGCAGAAUAGGUGCAAACUGGCCAGGAUGGAUGCUACAGAAUUGGACACUAGAAGGAAGGACUUGCUUGGAACAAUCAACUACUAAAGAGGGGCAAAAUUGUCAUUUUGCAUGAAGAGGCAGCCCUAGAAAUUAGGGCACCCUAUAAAUAGGAGUUGAACAUAAGGAGGAAUCAUUUUUUUAUCAUCACUUUAUCAUCACUUUGAGAACACUUUUUGGGAGAAUAGUUCCAUUAGUUCUAAGUUCCACUCUCUAAAUCCAGCAGCCUGCCAUGAAGAUUCCGGCCACCAGCCGGCGGGGAGUCAUCAUGCCUGAAUCAUUCCAGCCGCCGUAGUCCAGUUCCAGUUUCAGAAGAAGCCAUCAGCCAUUUACAUGCUUUCUUUUAAUGCUUUCUUAGUUUAAAAACUUGUUUUACUUGCAUUUGUCUCGGAUUUCAGUAGUUAAUCUGUUUGAAGCAUCUUAUGGUUUGAAUGUUUGAAUGAAGUUAAGUUUGAGUUUCA